rnacentral:tRNA from 1 species
GUUAACGUAGCUUAAAAUUUUCACAAAGCAAGACACUGAAAAUGUCUAGAUGGACUUGCCAGUCCCGCUAACA